UUGAGAUUUGAACUUGACAAUAUACCUUGUCUGCGACCCUACCUUAGGAGACCAGGUGCUUCGUGCACCCCCUUUCCCCCCGCUACUGUCACUGCCAGGGGGGACCUGGCGUCCCUACUUUCUGCCCCAGGAAGUUGUCCUUACAGGCUUGGCCCAGUUAGGAUUGGGCCCCCAUAGGAGAAAACUCAGCCUGGGGCAGCAUAGGAGUGAGAUAAGCCCCCACUGGGGAGGAAGGUCCACAGUGAGCCCCUCACCCUCCGUCCCCGUUCUUGGCAGCUCUGGCUCCCCCACCCAGACGCAGGGCCCUGCUGAGGACCCUCCAGGGGGCUGUGUUCCUGGGAUGGGGUCACAGAUCCCGCCAGGGGCACGGACUCUGCCAGGGCACACGGGAGGGUGUGGAGGCAGAGGUGGGAGCACUCGCUCGUUCCCACCAGAGUCUGAGGCAGACGAGGGUCCUGCCCGUGGUGCAGCGUGGGGUUUCUGGGGAGAGUAUCAGCGCUUUGGGCCUCCUUUCGGGGAGAAGGUGAGGAGGGCAUGCCCAGGAAUGUCCAGGCGCUCGGAUCUGAAGCCCAGCAGGGUUCUGGGCCUCGCGCCCCCCGCAUGCCAACCUCAGAGUGGGGCCCAUGGGAAGGCCAGGGGACCCGGGGCCUCAGCCUGGUGGGGGUGCAGCAGCUCUGGGCCCCCGUGGGGGCAGCACUCCUCCCCAGGCUGUUCCCCCUGCAUCCAGCACUGGGCCGGGUGGGGGGGUGAACCCGGGCUGUUCACGGAGCUGCCCACACCCACAGGGUGGACGGGACGGGGGGGCACCUACCCCAGGGGGGGCUGCGGGGAACCAGCACAGCCCCUCAUGUGACCUUGGUAUUACUGUGGAAACAGCUUUGACCUCCAGGGCCUUCUAGAAGGUUCUUAGGACCUGAGGUUCCUGGACUGAACUCUCAGAGCGGCGGAUCUCAGCAGCAGUGCAGGGGGCAAGGCGUCAAGGACAGGCAGGUGGUGAAAGGAGCCGCACCAAACAGCGCUCACGGUGCGGCCCGCUGACCCCCCUCCUACCUCUGCCGCUGCCCAGCUCUGAGUGGCCGCAGGGGUAAGACGGAGGUGCAAGCUUGGGGCACGGGGGACCUGGGGGGUGGUCCUUGGUCCAGUGGGGGGUGGCCCUUUCCCACUCAGGCAGGGGCUGCCGUGCAGGGUAGGAGGCAGGGUCCACUGGGCUUGGGGGGCAGUAUGUCACCUUGGGGAGCCCUGUGGGAGCCGGACAGGGCUGUGGUGGGUGAUGGUGGCACAGCUCGACGGUGCCCCUGGGUGCGGAGGCCCAACCUCGGGGCUGCAGGCCCACGCUGGGGACACAGGUGGGCGCUCCCAAAGGCUUCGCGCACCUGGGCCGUGGAGGAGAACGUGGGGGCCCAGAGAGGUGCCCUGCCUGGCGGCCACAGGGCCAGCUCAGACCCAGGCUCGGGGAGCUGGCACCCGAAUGGCCUCCGGCCGGGAGCUACCACUCUGCUGGGCUGUGAAUAAUUUAGGGCAGGACCCACCAGGACCUGAGGGCAGCUUCAGUCUUCGCUUCGGGUGCCUCUGAAAAAUUCAUGAGUCCUCGAGCCUGUGGGGUCCUGCCGCGUGGGCCAGAUCUGCUCCGUCUCCUGCCCUUGUCUGUCCAGGGCUCCCGGCGCCCUCCCCGCAGAGUGGAAGACAUCUUGUCACCCUCCCCCGGGGCCCAGGGUGGCCCUGGAAGUGACGGUUCUGUGCCUGGCCGGUGGCUUCGGAGCCUCCGCAACGGGAUUUCGGGGUUUCCCACAAGGGAGCAUUGGUUGUUGUGAGUAGCCGUGGGGGCUCAGUGGGACCACGAGUGACGUGCCACGAAGCGUGUGCCCCUGGUGUGCACCCAGUAUAGACCCGCAUGCCUGCGUGAGUGUAUCUGGGUGGUUCCCGGGGCUUGGGAGCCGGCGUGGUGAAUGCAUGCAUGUGCCCGUGUGUAUACGAGGGCCUGUAGGUGUGUGGGCGCGUGUGCACCCGCCCAGUGGACCCGCGGAGGGCCCCCGGCUCAGGAGAGAGCACAUGUGCACGCAUAUAUGUGCAGGAGUGUGAGUGUGUGGACAAUCACCCGCCCUGCCGCCGGCUGUCUAGCGCGAGCCCGGCCUCUGAGAGGCACCUGUCACGGGCUGGGUCCAGGCUGCGCUGCGCACUUUCUCGGUCCCGGGGCAGCUGGAGGGUCAGGGGUUUGGUCUCCGGGUCACUCCCCACCCUGCCGGGUGAGUCAGUGGGGGGCAGAGAAUGGUGUCAGUAAGAGAUGCGGGUGCUGGUUCCUUUGCUGGCUUGGCCUGCGGCUCCUGGUGUGUCGCUGUGGGGUCAUCGGGGGAGGCCGUGCAGGAGGGUCAGGGUCGGGGCCGACCGCGAGUCAAGAGGAACUGAGACGCGGGCUCAGGGGCUGGGAGUCCUGCGCCGUGACUGCCCACGGAGGCCCAGUCGGCCUCAUCACGGCACGCUGGGCCCGGACUGGGGGCUGAGUGGGGCCCGAGGCAGGGGUGGGCAGAGUGGGUGGGCGUGGAGAGGUCAGUGGGGCCGUCCUCUCUGGGCUGUCUCCCGAGGGUCCCGGGUGAAGUGGAGGUGGGCGCCCUGGGCAGGAAGGGAGCUCGGCGCCCGCAGGCUCCGCGGGAGGGCCGGCCCCAAGUGCCCGACCGGCCUGCGGGGGUCUGGUGACCGCCAGCUGCCGUAGGCCAUGCGGUGGGUCGAGCGGGCGGGCCCCGGCUUCCAAGGCUCGGCUGCCGGGAAAGGGGGAUCCGGAGGACACAGGAGGCAAGCAAAUGCAAGCAAAUCAGUAACAACUUCAGAUUAUGACGAGGAGCUGGGACUGAGGAGGGCAGUGUGGACUUUGGGGAGACCUGUAAGCAGGGCCCCCCC
rnacentral:lncRNA from 1 species